rnacentral:rRNA from 1 species
GAUUAACGCUGGCGGCGUGCAUAACACAUGCAAGUCGAACGAUGAAACUUAAAUGAUUUCUUCGGAAUGAACUUAAGUGGAUUAGUGGCGGACGGGUGAGUAACGCGUGAGUAACCUGCCUUACACAAGGGGAUAGCCGGUGGAAACGACGAAUAAUACCCUAUGAAACUAUCACUUCGCAUGAAGCGAUAGUCAAAGUGUUAGCGGUGUAAGAUGGACUUGCGUCUGAUUAGCUAGUUGGUGAGAAAAAAGCCCACCAAGGCAACGAUCAGUAGCCGGCUUGAGAGAGUGUACGGCCACAUUGGGACUGAGACACGGCCCAGACUCCUACGGGAGGCAGCAGUGGGGAAUUUUGCACAAUGGGGGAAACCCUGAUGCAGCGACGCCGCGUGAUUUAGAAGGCCUUCGGGUUGUAAAAAUCUUUUGUAUAGGAAGAAAAUGACAGUACUAUACGAAUAAGGUCCGGCUAAUUACGUG